rnacentral:tRNA from 1 species
CGCGGAAUGGAGCAGUCUGGUAGCUCGUCGGGCUCAUAACCCGAAGGUCGUCGGUUCAAAUCCGGCUUCCGCAA